AGCAAGGCUCUGUUUAGUUCAAUGUGAUUUUGGAAUUUUCCCCUACUUUGCAUUAAUGUGUACUGAUUAUUAUUUGUAACAAAUGGACACAUACAUUUAUAAUUAUAUUUUUAUGCAACACUUCAUAAUUAUGUGCUCAUAGUAUUAUCUCCACUAGCUGUCCAUUUGCAGUUAGUUAAUUUGUAAGCACCCUAUAGUUCUAUUUGUCUGUGUAUAUACACUCCUUGGCCAUGUGGAUCCUAUUAGAGGGAUUAUAUAUAUGUGUAUUCCUAUUAGGACUAACCGAAUAUAGGUCCUAAUUGUUGCUAUGUAAUUAACUCUCCAGGUUCCAGAUCCAUAUGAAAUUAUAAGGACCUUGUAUUUGUAUCUGCAUUUUUCAUCCAUAAUUGACCCAAGAGGAAUGUUGUUAUUAUAGACUGUGUACGUGGGUUUCAAAAAAUGAAUAUACUUAUUGCAUCAAUGGUUGGAUACCAUACUGAUAAUUUGUAGGUACACAACUACAUGUUCUUUAUAUAGAAGUAUUUAACAAUAUACCCCUGAUUAUUAAAACUGUUAGACACCUUAUCAAGAGAAAAAAGUGGUAAAAUAUGCCUGUUGAUAAUUUUGAAUUAAGGCUAUGGUACUUAAUCGUAACAUCAUAUUAAAUAAUCCUUAUGUUAGACUAGCUAAAAUACCCCUGAUAAGAGGUUGUUCUCCAUACCAGUGGGCUAUAAUGAGAGUUGCCUCUAAGAACAGGCCCUUUUCCCCCCAUAUAUCUUUCAUUAUGAUAAGGUUGGAUAUUAAUUAAUGGUAAUUAACUCACCAGGUCCCCCACCUUUCUUGCAUGAAGUUGCUGAUUCCAUCUUUCAUACGAAUGUUUUUCAUAUUGGAGCUUUUAUGAGAUCAGAAUUUCUAGAUAUACGAGGCUGAAUUGAUGCCUCUAUAUUCCGCCUCAAUGAUGCUUUGAAACCCCCGUAUGAACUAUCUUGGCCAGCGGUCUAGAUUCAUUCUUUCUGAUAGACGUUGCUAUCUAAGCACCAGCACUGACCCAUCCUCCUCCCGGUCACCGCACUGCUCACCCAACACAGGGUCUCAGCUAUUUCUGUCAGACUGAUUAACCUUCGCCCCCUGCUGAUACUGCAUGGAUAAAAUGUUUUAUUUUUGAAAAGGGGACGUUAAUAUAUUUAUUAAAUGGACAACUCACAUCUUUAGACAAAGAAUAUGGGAUCCCGUUUUAUGAAUGGACUACAUCACAGGAAGUGACGAUUACAACUAUUAACAUUAUGAACAGCAGCAGCCGGGAGACAUUGGUCACUAAUGUACUUCCGCCGGACGGACUUCCUGAUGGGCCGCGCUUCCCACGAUGAUGCGUUUCCGGGUAGAACACCUGGUGCGUUCAUGUCAAUGACUCACUUCCUGGGAAGUGUUUAUAAGGGGAGGCCGCCAGCUAACGACCGAAAGUACGGGGAUGACGCGGCCGGAAGGAUCCAUAGGAAUUCAUGUUAUUGUAAAGAGCGGGAACUACACGUCACAGUGUUCUAAUUUGAUUGGAUAGGGUGUAUUUAUAAGAGAUGUCUGGACGAGGAACUAACAUACUGCCUUGAAAAAGACCCAAGUUCUAGGGUCGAAACGCGCUGGUAGUUGGAAGUGACGCCAUGGUUCCUGUGUCGUUAUGGCUUGCUGAACGGAGACCAGAUACAUAUCCCAGAUUGCCUACCAGGGUGGACCUUUUGGGUGAUUAUAAGAACUCUUGUUGAGAACUGUUUUUGCCACCAGUUCUCAAACAUAUCUGGUAACUGAUCAGUCUCUACAAUAUCAACAUGGAACAAUAGGAGGGCACUCUGCACUUUACUUGCUAUCUUGUUUUUACAUGUACACUUGCACUUUGUUAUAUUAAAU